CCUACGGGUGGCUGCAGUCGAGAAUCAUUCACAAUGGGGGAAACCCUGAUGGUGCGACGCCGCGUGGGGGAAUGAAGGUCUUCGGAUUGUAAACCCCUGUCAUGUGGGAGCAAAUUAAAAAGAUAGUACCACAAGAGGAAGAGACGGCUAACUCUGUGCCAGCAGCCGCGGUAAUACAGAGGUCUCAAGCGUUGUUCGGAAUCACUGGGCGUAAGGCGUGCGUAGGCUGUUGCGUAAGUCGUGUGUGAAAGGCGCGGGCUCAACCCGCGGACGGCACAUGAUACUGCGAGACUAGAGUAAUGGAGGGGGAACCGGAAUUCUCGGUGUAGCAGUGAAAUGCGUAGAUAUCGAGAGGAACACUCGUGGCGAAGGCGGGUUCCUGGACAUUAACUGACGCUGAGGCACGAAGGCCAGGGGAGCGAAAGGGAUUAGAUACCCCAGUAGUC
rnacentral:rRNA from 1 species